rnacentral:rRNA from 1 species
ACGGGUGAGUAACACGUAGGUAACCUGCCCAUAAGACUGGGAUAACUACCGGAAACGGUAGCUAAUACCGGAUAGGUUCUUCUCUCGCAUGGGAGGGGAAAGAAAGACGGAGCAAUCUGUCACUUAUGGAUGGACCUGCGGCGCAUUAGCUAGUUGGUGAGGUAACGGCUCACCAAGGCGACGAUGCGUAGCCGACCUGAGAGGGUGAUCGGCCACACUGGGACUGAGACACGGCCCAGACUCCUACGGGAGGCAGCAGUAGGGAAUCUUCCGCAAUGGGCGAAAGCCUGACGGAGCAACGCCGCGUGAGUGAUGAAGGUUUUCGGAUCGUAAAGCUCUGUUGCCAGGGAAGAACGUCUCUUAGAGUAACUGCUAAGAGAGUGACGGUACCUGAGAAGAAAGCCCCGGCUAACUACGUGCCAGCAGCCGCGGUAAUACGUAGGGGGCAAGCGUUGUCCGGAAUUAUUGGGCGUAAAGCGCGCGCAGGCGGUCAUUUAAGUUGGGUGUUUAACCCCAGGGCUCAACCCUGGGUCGCACCCAAAACUGGAUGACUUGAGUGCAGAAGAGGAGAGUGGAAUUC